rnacentral:rRNA from 1 species
GGUUAAGCGACUAAGCGUACACGGUGGAUGCCCUGGCAGUCAGAGGCGAUGAAGGACGUGCUAAUCUGCGAAAAGCGUCGGUAAGGUGAUAUGAACCGUUACAGCCGGCGAUGUCCGAAUGGGGAAACCCAGUGCAAUUCGUUGCACUAUCGUUAACUGAAUACAUAGGUUAACGAGGCGAACCGGGGGAACUGAAACAUCUAAGUACCCCGAGGAAAAGAAAUCAACCGAGAUUCCCCCAGUAGCGGCGAGCGAACGGGGAGCAGCCCAGAGUCUGAAUCAGCUUGUGUGUUAGUGGAACGGUCUGGAAAGUCCGACGGUACAGGGUGAUAGUCCCGUACACCAAAAUGCACAGGUUGUGAACUCGAAGAGUAGGGCGGGACACGUGGUAUCCUGUCUGAAUAUGGGGGGACCAUCCUCCAAGGCUAAAUACUCCUGACUGACCGAUAGUGAACCAGUACCGUGAGGGAAAGGCGAAAAGAACCCCGGCGAGGGGAGUGAAAAAGAACCUGAAACCGUGUACGUACAAGCAGUGGGAGCACCUUCGGGUGUGACUGCGUACCUUUUGUAUAAUGGGUCAGCGACUUAUAUUCUGUAGCAAGGUUAACCGUAUAGGGGAGCCGCAGGGAAACCGAGUCUUAACUGGGCGUUAAGUUGCAGGGUAUAGACCCGAAACCCGGUGAUCUAGCCAUGGGCAGGUUGAAGGUUGGGUAACACUAACUGGAGGACCGAACCGACUAAUGUUGAAAAAUUAGCGGAUGACUUGUGGCUGGGGGUGAAAGGCCAAUCAAACCGGGAGAUAGCUGGUUCUCCCCGAAAGCUAUUUAGGUAGCGCCUCGUGAAUUCAUCUUCGGGGGUAGAGCACUGUUUCGGCUAGGGGGUCAUCCCGACUUACCAACCCGAUGCAAACUACGAAUACCGAAGAAUGUUAUCACGGGAGACACACGGCGGGUGCUAACGUCCGUCGUGAAGAGGGAAACAACCCAGACCGCCAGCUAAGGUCCCAAAGUCAUGGUUAAGUGGGAAACGAUGUGGGAAGGCACAGACAGCCAGGAUGUUGGCUUAGAAGCAGCCAUCAUUUAAAGAAAGCGUAAUAGCUCACUGGUCGAGUCGGCCUGCGCGGAAGAUGUAACGGGGCUAAACCAUGCACCGAAGCUGCGGCAGCGACACUAUGUGUUGUUGGGUAGGGGAGCGUUCUGUAAGCCUGCGAAGGUGACCUGUGAGGGUUGCUGGAGGUAUCAGAAGUGCGAAUGCUGACAUAAGUAACGAUAAAGCGGGUGAAAAGCCCGCUCGCCGGAAGACCAAGGGUUCCUGUCCAACGUUAAUCGGGGCAGGGUGAGUCGACCCCUAAGGCGAGGCCGAAAGGCGUAGUCGAUGGGAAACAGGUUAAUAUUCCUGUACUUGGUGUUACUGCGAAGGGGGGACGGAGAAGGCUAUGUUAGCCGGGCGACGGUUGUCCCGGUUUAAGCAUGUAGGCUGGUUGUCCAGGCAAAUCCGGAUAAUCAAGGCUGAGGUGUGAUGACGAGGCACUACGGUGCUGAAGUAACAAAUGCCCUGCUUCCAGGAAAAGCCUCUAAGCAUCAGGUAACAUCAAAUCGUACCCCAAACCGACACAGGUGGUCAGGUAGAGAAUACCAAGGCGCUUGAGAGAACUCGGGUGAAGGAACUAGGCAAAAUGGUGCCGUAACUUCGGGAGAAGGCACGCUGGUGUGUAGGUGAAGUCCCUGCGGAUGGAGCUGAGACCAGUCGAAGAUACCAGCUGGCUGCAACUGUUUAUUAAAAACACAGCACUGUGCAAACACGAAAGUGGACGUAUACGGUGUGACGCCUGCCCGGUGCCGGAAGGUUAAUUGAUGGGGUUAUCCGUAAGGAGAAGCUCUUGAUCGAAGCCCCGGUAAACGGCGGCCGUAACUAUAACGGUCCUAAGGUAGCGAAAUUCCUUGUCGGGUAAGUUCCGACCUGCACGAAUGGCGUAAUGAUGGCCAGGCUGUCUCCACCCGAGACUCAGUGAAAUUGAACUCGCUGUGAAGAUGCAGUGUACCCGCGGCAAGACGGAAAGACCCCGUGAACCUUUACUAUAGCUUGACACUGAACAUUGAGCCUUGAUGUGUAGGAUAGGUGGGAGGCUUUGAAGCGUGGACGCCAGUCUGCGUGGAGCCAACCUUGAAAUACCACCCUUUAAUGUUUGAUGUUCUAACGUUGGCCCCUUACCGGGGUUGCGGACAGUGUCUGGUGGGUAGUUUGACUGGGGCGGUCUCCUCCCAAAGCGUAACGGAGGAGCACGAAGGUUAGCUAAUCCUGGUCGGACAUCAGGAGGUUAGUGCAAUGGCAUAAGCUAGCUUGACUGCGAGCGUGACGGCGCGAGCAGGUGCGAAAGCAGGUCAUAGUGAUCCGGUGGUUCUGAAUGGAAGGGCCAUCGCUCAACGGAUAAAAGGUACUCCGGGGAUAACAGGCUGAUACCGCCCAAGAGUUCAUAUCGACGGCGGUGUUUGGCACCUCGAUGUCGGCUCAUCACAUCCUGGGGCUGAAGUAGGUCCCAAGGGUAUGGCUGUUCGCCAUUUAAAGUGGUACGCGAGCUGGGUUUAGAACGUCGUGAGACAGUUCGGUCCCUAUCUGCCGUGGGCGCUGGAGAAUUGAGGGGGGCUGCUCCUAGUACGAGAGGACCGGAGUGGACGCAUCACUGGUGUUCGGGUUGUCAUGCCAAUGGCACUGCCCGGUAGCUAAAUGCGGAAGAGAUAAGUGCUGAAAGCAUCUAAGCACGAAACUUGCCCCGAGAUGAGUUCUCCCUGAGACUUUAAGUCUCCUGAAGGAACGUUAAAGACGAUGACGUUGAUAGGCCGGGUGUGUAAGCGCAGCGAUGCGUUGAGCUAACCGGUACUAAUGAACCGUGAGGCUUAACCUU